UAUCGAAUUUAUGUUCAACAUGAUCACAUAAUCCAUAAAUAAAUUUUAGAUCUGGGAAAACUUAAGGAUCUAUUUCAAUGACAUAACCUUUGAAUUUCCAAGGAAUGCAAAGAUAAUCUUGGUUUCAACCUUUCUGCAAUGGAUCGUCUAAAGCAAUUGAUGGCUUCAAGAUCGGAUGCUCUAUUUCGAGAUGCAAAGUCGAAUUUGUUAGAGAUUCAUUCUCAGCAGUCGAAACGUUUAGAAGCAAGAUCAGAUCCCAAAACAGAAAAACGGAAAAAGAAGAAACAGAAGAGAAGAACUGAUAUACACGUUUGAUCUCCAAGAUGGGCAAAACUUUUAUUCCCUAUUUUCAAGGUUUAGAGUGCUUUGCAGAAUAAUGUUCUUCCUGCUUCAAGUACUCGUGACUCUUCUGACCGUUCAACAGCUCGAUCCAACUCAUCUUGAUCCGCCUGACCUCGUAGUUAGAGCACUGCUGUGGAGCGUAAAGGCAUGUGCUCAAAGACUCAUAGAUCGAUCCCUUUUUGUGAGAUACUUUUGGAUAGGCACCUCCUAACUUGGCACUUGGAGGAACGACACAUCAUCUACAGUAUCUUUUGUUGUAAUAUUUCUAUCUUCCAGAAUGCCUUUAUUUCGUGACA